rnacentral:rRNA from 1 species
UACGAAGGGGACUAGCGUUGUUCGGAAUCACUGGGCGUAAAGCGCACGUAGGUGGAUUUGUAAGUCAGGGGUGAAAUCCCGGGGCUCAACCUCGGAACUGCCUUUGAUACUGCGAAUCUUGAGUCCGAUAGAGGUGGGUGGAAUUCCUAGUGUAGAGGUGAAAUUCGUAGAUAUUGGGAAGAACACCGGUGGCGAAGGCGGCUCACUGGCUCGUAACUGACGCUCAUGCACGACAGCGUGGGGAUCAAACAGG